rnacentral:lncRNA from 1 species
GGACAAUUUAACAAAAAUUACGGCAACCUUUCGUGCAUGGGACACAUAAUUUGUAUCAUCUUGAUCCCUUUUUUUUUUAUAUUUCCGUCUUUUCGAGAGAAAAAAAUCGACAUUACGUCAUCGCCCAAUUAUGAAUUGCUUGUUCUAGACAAACUUUUAUAUCGUUUGGUAAUAAAAUUUAUAUGUUUUUUACGGUAUUCAGAAUUUCACAAAACUAAAAGUGUAACGCGGG